rnacentral:rRNA from 1 species
UGGGGAAUUUUGCACAAUGGGGGAAACCCUGAUGCAGCGACGCCGCGUGAUUUAGAAGGCCUUCGGGUUGUAAAAAUCUUUUCUAUGGGAAGAAAAUGACAGUACCAUAGGAAUAAGGACCGGCUAAUUACGUGCCAGCAGCCGCGGUAAUACGUAAGGUCCGAGCGUUGUCCGGAAUCAUUGGGCGUAAAGGGUACGUAGGCGGGUAAGCAAGUUAGAAGUGAAAUCCUAUAGCUCAACUAUAGUAAGCUUUUAAAACUGCUCAUCUUGAGGUAGGGAAGGGAAAGUGGAAUUCCUAGUGUAGCGGUGAAAUGCGCAGAUAUUAGGAGGAAUAACGGUGGCGAAGGCGACUUUCUGGCCAUAACCUGACGCUGAGGUACGAAAGCGUGGGUAGCAAACAGG